rnacentral:rRNA from 1 species
UACAGAGGUCCCGAGCGUUGUUCGGAUUCAUUGGGCGUAAAGGGUGCGUAGGCGGCUUCCUAAGUUUGAUGUGAAAUCCUGGGGGCUCAACCCUGGAACUGCAUUGAAUACUGGGAGGCUAGAGUACUGGAGAGGAAACUGGAAUUUACGGUGUAGCAGUGAAAUGCGUAGAGAUCGUAAGGAAGACCAGUGGCGAAGGCGAGUUUCUGGACAGUUACUGACGCUGAGGCACGAAGGCCAGGGGAGCAAACGGG